UACGUAGGAUGCAAGCGUUAUCCGGAAUUAUUGGGCGUAAAGAGCUCGUAGGCGGUCUGUCGCGUCGGUCGUGGAAAACUUGGGGCUUAACCCUGAGCUUGCGGUCGAUACGGGCAUGACUGGAGUUCGGCAGGGGAGACUGGAAUUCCUGGUGUAGCGGUGAAAUGCGCAGAUAUCAGGAGGAACACCGGUGGCGAAGGCGGGUCUCUGGGCCGAUACUGACGCUGAAGAGCGAAAGCGUGGGGAGCGAACAGG
rnacentral:rRNA from 1 species